ACCGAAAUAGCUCAGUUGGGACAGCAUUAGACUUUGAAUGGAAAAGUCCCUGAUUCGAUCCAGGGUUCCGGCA
rnacentral:tRNA from 1 species